GAUGAACGCUGGCGGCGUGCCUAACACAUGCAAGUCGAACGAAGCACCUUACCUGAUUCUUCGGAUGAAAGUUUGGUGACUGAGUGGCGGACGGGUGAGUAACGCGUGGGUAACCUGCCCUGUACAGGGGGAUAACAGCUGGAAACGGCUGCUAAUACCGCAUAAGCGCACGAGGAGACAUCUCCUUGUGUGAAAAACUCCGGUGGUACAGGAUGGGCCCGCGUCUGAUUAGCUGGUUGGCAGGGUAACGGCCUACCAAGGCAACGAUCAGUAGCCGGUCUGAGAGGAUGAACGGCCACAUUGGAACUGAGACACGGUCCAAACUCCUACGGGAGGCAGCAGUGGGGAAUAUUGCACAAUGGGGGAAACCCUGAUGCAGCAACGCCGCGUGAGUGAAGAAGUAUUUCGGUAUGUAAAGCUCUAUCAGCAGGGAAGAUAAUGACGGUACCUGACUAAGGAGCUCCGGCUAAAUACGUG
rnacentral:rRNA from 1 species